AUUGAACGCUGGCGGCAGGCCUAACACAUGCAAGUCGGGCGAGAGGCGGACGGGUGAGUAAUGUAUGGGGAUCUGCGUGAUGGCGGGGGAGAAAUACGGGAAACGGUAGCUAAUACCGCUAACCAUCAGAUGAACCCAUAUGGGAUUAGCUUGUUGGUGAGGUAACGGCUCACCUAGGGGACGAUCCCUAGCUGGUCUGAGAGGAUGAUCAGCCACACUGGGACUGAGACACGGCCCAGACUCCUACGGGAGGCAGCAGUGGGGAAUAUUGCACAAUGGGCGCAAGCCUGACGCAGCCAUGCCGCGUGUAUGAAGAAGGUCUUCGGGUUGUAAAGUACUUUCAGUCGGGAGGCGUUACCGACAGAGGAAGCACCGGCUAACUCCGUGCCAGCCGCCGCGGUAAUAC
rnacentral:rRNA from 1 species